rnacentral:rRNA from 1 species
UACGUAGGGUGCGAGCGUUGUCCGGAAUUACUGGGCGUAAAGAGCUCGUAGGUGGUUUGUCGCGUUGUCCGUGAAAACUCACAACUCAAUUGUGGGCGUGCGGGCGAUACGGGCAGACUGGAGUACUGCAGGGGAGACUGGAAUUCCUGGUGUAGCGGUGAAAUGCGCAGAUAUCAGGAGGAACACCGGUGGCGAAGGCGGUUCUCUGGGCAUGUCCUGACGCUGAGGAGCGAAAGUGUGGGGAGCGAACAGG